GGGCAUGUAGCUCAGAUGGUAGAGCGCUCGUUUAGCAUGCGAGAGGUACGAGGAUCGAUACCCCGCAUCUCCA
rfam:Ipomoea nil DNA, scaffold: scaffold1317, cultivar: Tokyo-kokei standard.